UCGUUACACCCACCACUGCAUAAGUCAUACUGAAACUGAAAGCCACAGCUUUAUUAAUCCCAUGUGAUCAUUCAGAGAGAGUCAGAGUGGAAUGAACUCUUUCACUGUGAAGACACACUGAGCGCAGAAUCACAACCAUGAAUACUGUAAAUGCUGUGCAACUGUUCAUUCUGGUUUGGACCUUUACUGCUGUCUGUGAAGCUGAAAAUUUCAAUGUAAUCUGUGAUGAUGUGACUGGAUUUGUGGGGAAAAAAGUAGAUCUCACCUGCAGAGUCUCUCAGGAAUGUGACAACUACUGCAUGAAAAUGUAUAAGUUUAAAUUCCCCAAUGACACAAUACUCUGUAAACAAGAGUCUCCUGUGAACUGUGAUCAGAGUAAGAACUUCACAUGCAGCUACACUCCAACUACUAAAAUUGAAGAAAAAAUCAUAUUCUUUGUGCAAGCGAUCUGUGGAAAGAAAACAACAGAAUUCACUGUGGAUAUAGCAGAACCAGAAAAAAUCAAAGUUGGUCCUAAACCUGAGGAUCCUGAAUCUAAGGAUACUGCCAUCGCUGCAGCUGUGGGCUGUUUCAGCAUCGUUCUCAUCAUCAUCAUCAUGAUUAUCAUUUACAAAACAAAAACAAAAUCUUGUGGAAAUGUGAUAUAACAGCAUCGACUCAGCAGUACGAGUUCUCAUGUGCUGCUCACGAAACACACAUCUUUAUUUUAACUCCACUCCUAACUACACACUGUACUCUACUAUCUGAUCUAUCUCUAACUACUGAAUAUAUAACUCUGGAUGUUGGUUUCUGUUUUAUAGACGGUUUCAUCGGGCGCACGAGCAGUAACGUUUGCUUAUGUUGUUGCCGUUGAAACCAUCUAUAUUGAUUUCUGUGAAAUAACACCAUAUUAUUGAUCGGUUUGAUCAGUGUGUAUAUUUGUAUAUAUGUGACUUUAAUGAACUCAAGCCUUUGUGAACUAUAAGAGGAAACACAGCUAAACUUAAACUGUCUUUGGUUUUGCAGUUUUUUCAGAAUUUCAAGGAAUGUUUAAAAUGAAUGUUAAUGUAUUAAUGUUAAUAUAAUUCAAGUUUGGAAAUGAUUUCUUAAUAUUUUGCACAAAUGAUUUGCAAAAUGUGAAUUGUGUGGUCUUGUACUGUCUUAUAUUAUUUUUAAAGAAAAUUUAAAUGAAUAAAGACUUGUAAUACUCUCUGAAAAUGAAUAUCUGUUUAUGGGUAUGUUAUACUUGUGUGCAAAGUGCAAAGAGCUGAUCUUGUAUGCAUACAUUAUUUCGUUGUGUUAGACAAAUGUCAUAAUCUUAUUCUGCAGGAAAUCUUAAGAAAUCUCAGGGUUUUAUAUUUGCAUUAAAGGUUUUUAUUUGAUCAGUUCAUGCAUUCAGUAACAUAACCUGUUUGAGUUUGAGAUACAGGAGUAACUGAGAAAUAAAAACUUUUCUGGGAAAGAGAACAGCCGAUGAAAACAAACAC